rnacentral:rRNA from 1 species
GUGGGGAAUAUUGGACAAUGGGCGAAAGCCUGAUCCAGCCAUGCCGCGUGUGUGAAGAAGGUCUUCGGAUUGUAAAGCACUUUAAGUUGGGAGGAAGGGCAGUAAGUUAAUACCUUGCUGUUUUGACGUUACCGACAGAAUAAGCACCGGCUAACUUCGUGCCAGCAGCCGCGGUAAUACGAAGGGUGCAAGCGUUAAUCGGAAUUACUGGGCGUAAAGAGCGCGUAGGUGGUUUUGUAAGUUGGAGGUGAAAUCCCCGGGCUCAACCUGGGAACUGCCUCCAAAACUGCAUGACUAGAGUACGGUAGAGGGUAUUGGAAUUUCCUGUGUAGCGGUGAAAUGCGUAGAUAUAGGAAGGAACACCAGUGGCGAAGGCGACUACCUGGACUGAUACUGACACUGAGGUGCGAAAGCGUGGGGAGCAAACAGGAUUAGAAACCCGGGUAGUCC